UUCUCUUCUUAGUUUAUAUAUCAGCAGUUGAAGAUGUAAAAUCUCACCUAGACCAGUGGCUACAAUGCUUCCCUUCUCUUCUUAGUUUAUAUAUCUCUGCUUGCCGGGGAUUGACAUUUCUUCCCCAACACUUGAAACAUCUUUGCGCUCUCCAGAAAUUGAAUAUUGAGAAUAUGGAGGAACUUGAUCCCUCUUGUGAUGAAAACGGUGAAGACUUCCAAUGGCAUCAUCUUACAAGCUUGGGUGAAUUGACAUUAUGUGGGCUUCCAAAAAUGAUUGCUCUGCCCUCAGCUCUCCAACAUGUUACAACUCUUCACUAUUUGAACAUAUCAAGUUGUCCAACUUUAGAGGGUUUACCUAUGUGGCUGCCCAAUCUCAACUCACUCGGUAUGCUUAGACUUGCAGAUUGCCCCGAACUGAAAUCAUUGCCAGAUGGGAUGACUGAUCACACUUCUUUGAAGGUCUUGGAGAUCCGUAGAUGUGGCCAAUUAGGCGACCGAUGGAGAGUUAUCGAAGGCGCAGAUUGGUCCAAGAUUGCUAUGUUUUCACCAUGACAAAAGCCGAGUUUGAUAUAAUUGAAGGAUGGAUUAGGAGGAUCUUCCAUUUUGUCUACUUUACCUAUUGCAGCUCUGAAAUUCCAAUUCCCGGUUCCUUCCUUUGGUCUGAAAGAAGCCUUCUUGCAAGUUCUCACUUGGAUGCAUAUGCUAUGGCUAGUUUUUAGAUGGUUGCUCGUCCCUUUUGUUCUGUAUUUCCGAAGGUGUUCCUUCUUUUUGUAUGUCUGAAACAAUCUCCUUGCAAGUUUACUUGGAUACAUAGAAAUCAAGAAAAAGGCAUGCUAGUUUUUGGAUUGUUGCUGGUCCCUUUGGUUUUGUAUGCCCAGAAGGCGUUGAUUGUUGUUUGUCCUUUUAGUUUUUUAAUUCAAGAUGUAAUGGAGUCCAGCCAGGUUUGAUUAAUGAGAACGCAAGCUAUGCUUACCA